rnacentral:rRNA from 1 species
AUAAUGGGUCAGCGACUUAUAUUCUGUAGCAAGGUUAACCGAAUAGGGGAGCCGAAGGGAAACCGAGUCUUAACUGGGCGUUAAGUUGCAGGGUAUAGACCCGAAACCCGGUGAUCUAGCCAUGGGCAGGUUGAAGGUUGGGUAACACUAACUGGAGGACCGAACCGACUAAUGUUGAAAAAUUAGCGGAUGACUUGUGGCUGGGGGUGAAAGGCCAAUCAAACCGGGAGAUAGCUGGUUCUCCCCGAAAGCUAUUUAGGUAGCGCCUCGUGAAUUCAUCUCCGGGGGUAGAGCACUGUUUCGGCAAGGGGGUCAUCCCGACUUACCAACCCGAUGCAAACUGCGAAUACCGGAGAAUGUUAUCACGGGAGACACACGGCGGGUGCUAACGUCCGUCGUGAAGAGGGAAACAACCCAGACCGCCAGCUAAGGUCCCAAAGUCAUGGUUAAGUGGGAAACGAUGUGGGAAGGCCCAGACAGCCAGGAUGUUGGCUUAGAAGCAGCCAUCAUUUAAAGAAAGCGUAAUAGCUCACUGGUCGAGUCGGCCUGCGCGGAAGAUGUAACGGGGCUAAACCAUGCACCGAAGCUGCGGCAGCGACGCUGAUGCGUUGUUGGGUAGGGGAGCGUUCUGUAAGCCUGUGAAGGUGUGCUGUGAGGCAUGCUGGAGGUAUCAGAAGUGCGAAUGCUGACAUAAGUAACGAUAAAGCGGGUGAAAAGCCCGCUCGCCGGAAGACCAAGGGUUCCUGUCCAACGUUAAUCGGGGCAGGGUGAGUCGACCCCUAAGGCGAGGCCGAAAGGCGUAGUCGAUGGGAAACAGGUUAAUAUUCCUGUACUUGGUGUUACUGCGAAGGGGGGACGGAGAAGGCUAUGUUGGCCGGGCGACGGUUGUCCCGGUUUAAGCGUGUAGGCUGGUUUUCCAGGCAAAUCCGGAAAAUCAAGGCUGAGGCGUGAUGACGAGGCACUACGGUGCUGAAGCAACAAAUGCCCUGCUUCCAGGAAAAGCCUCUAAGCAUCAGGUAACAUCAAAUCGUACCCCAAACCGACACAGGUGGUCAGGUAGAGAAUACCAAGGCGCUUGAGAGAACUCGGGUGAAGGAACUAGGCAAAAUGGUGCCGUAACUUCGGGAGAAGGCACGCUGAUAUGUAGGUGAAGUCCCUCGCGGAUGGAGCUGAAAUCAGUCGAAGAUACCAGCUGGCUGCAACUGUUUAUUAAAAACACAGCACUGUGCAAACACGAAAGUGGACGUAUACGGUGUGACGCCUGCCCGGUGCCGGAAGGUUAAUUGAUGGGGUCAGCGCAAGCGAAGCUCUUGAUCGAAGCCCCGGUAAACGGCGGCCGUAACUAUAACGGUCCUAAGGUAGCGAAAUUCCUUGUCGGGUAAGUUCCGACCUGCACGAAUGGCGUAAUGAUGGCCAGGCUGUCUCCACCCGAGACUCAGUGAAAUUGAACUCGCUGUGAAGAUGCAGUGUACCCGCGGCAAGACGGAAAGACCCCGUGAACCUUUACUAUAGCUUGACACUGAACAUUGAGCCUUGAUGUGUAGGAUAGGUGGGAGGCUUUGAAGUGUGGACGCCAGUCUGCAUGGAGCCGGCCUUGAAAUA